rnacentral:rRNA from 1 species
GACAGAGGAUGCAAGCGUUAUCCGGAAUGAUUGGGCGUAAAGCGUCUGUAGGUGGCUUUUCAAGUCCGCCGUCAAAUCCCAGGGCUCAACCCUGGACAGGCGGUGGAAACUACCAAGCUGGAGUACGGUAGGGGCAGAGGGAAUUUCCGGUGGAGCGGUGAAAUGCAUUGAGAUCGGAAAGAACACCAGUGGCGAAGGCGGCCCGCUGGGCAGUGGCUGACGCUGAGGCGCGACAGCGUGGGGAGCAAACAGG